CCGCUCUCAUCUCUUCUGGAAGUUGAACUUCAUGAUAGCGAAACUAAAAAGGAACGCGAAGAAAAAGGCCAGGGCAACGUGCACCACUGCCACGACCCACAGGAAGUCGUGACGGAAGCCAAAGUAAUCUGUGAUGAACUGCGCCACGGUUUUUUUCUGACCCCCAACCCCAACUUCGAUUUCAUGUUGGAUGUCACCAAACUGGGAGGCGACCAAUCCAUACAGCGUCCACGCGACCGGGCAGACCCAGCUGUACCACCUCCACCAGACAGGAAUUCUCUGAAGAAAAAGUCGAGUGCGCAGUGAGUCAUACGAAAAUUGGCAAAGUGCCAAACUCUACAAACAGUAAGGAGUGAAAAAAAAAAGGAAAAUGCAAAGCCAACAGGUGAAUGACUUACAGGUCGAGGGAUCAGAUAUCCUGAGAAGAGGUUCCACACGUUAUAGAACGCUGAUGAGAUGAUAGCCGCUAUGCUUUCAUUCGGAGUCAAACCAACCGCCAUCAUCCCAUAGAACGUGAAGUAGAGCAGCGUAAAGUACAUGAAGAACAGGUACCAGAGGAACUUGGCAACAGUCCACU
rnacentral:lncRNA from 1 species